rnacentral:tRNA from 1 species
CGAGCUAUCAUGGCCGUGAGGUUACGGGUUUCGCCUUGUAAGCGUAAGGUGAUGGGUUCGAAUCCUGUCUGGCUCGG